rnacentral:sRNA from 1 species
AUAAUUUAAUUUAAAACAGCAAUUUAGCUGUUAGGGCUGGCCUUAUAACAACCACGGUGGGUCUUAAAAGUUAUAUUAUAAGUCGAAAGUCACUGAGUUUCCCGGGGGAGGGGGGGGGGCUAUAUAUAUUUGAAAUGCUGGCCAAAGCUGCAAAAACAGCAAAAGCAAUUCUUUAAAGUAUUUGACGUACGUUUUUCCUCAGCCUUGACGUACAAAUAUUUACGGAAUUUGCAAGAUCCCAGUAAAAAUGCCUGUGAAAAUAAGUCAAGUAAUGCAAUAUGUUUAUGGUGUCUUUAUAUAAUGAACCUAAAUAGGAAUAAGAAAUUACAGAAGCAAAAUAUAAGAAACCCACACUUGUUUAUAACUUGUGGACCUCCUGUAGCCCCAAAUAGUUUUGCGUCGACGCAAAUGUCAGUUUAUUACUUUGCAUGCUUUUCCACCAAAUAUUAGGGAACAUUUUCGUUAUUUCCAUCUACCUCCCAGUAUGCUUGCCUGUAACGCUGGGAUUUCUAGGAAGGGUUAAGGCCAGCAAAAUGCAAUAUUAAAAUAUAAUGCAAAAUAAUAACAGCACGUGUAAAUGUCGCAAAUCAGUCCACACCUUCCGGUUGUGCAUAUAAACCGUGCAAUUAACGCGAAUAUGUCGUCUGGGCAAUAAAUUUCGCGCAUAUUAUAGCAAAAGGGGUAUAUAUAUUGGGAACCUGCGAAUUUGCGAUUAGUAGGAUCGGUUUUGCCCUGACGUUAGCACCGUAUUGGCCAAUUUUUGGAAAUAGCGGGUAAGGGUGGGGCAGCCCAAAAUGCGAUGGGCUGUCGGGACGGACGAAGCCCCGACCCACGUAUUACCCCACGAAAACAUAGCGGUUUUUUAUCAAAUAUAGGGGUGCGCUGCCCAGGUUUGCAAUCCUGCCGAAUAAAAGGGAUGUAACCACACCGGAAUUAAUAGAUUAAAUUGCAACGUCCAAACUAUUCGGAUAUAAUAUAUAUGGCAAAUUUCCAAAUAUAUUGUGCUGUAUAAAUUUCCUGGCCGUAUUUUAUAACCCAAAAAGAAAAAAAAUUAAACCUUAGCCGCCCUGGACCGGAUCCAAAUAUUGUUAUUAGCAGGGGUAGAUUUCGUGUUGUAAAAUUUAAAAUUUUUAAACCGUUAUAAUAGUUGCCGGUGGGGCUAAUUGCUAUUUAUAUCGCACAGUUUUAUUAUCCUAUUACGUCGUCCAGUGGAAGACGUUGGCGAAAUUAUCCACAGUUCCGAAAAAAUAUAUUUAAUAAAUUUGGUAUAAUAGAGUUAUAAAUACAACUGUUUCCCAAUUAUAUUUGCUAUAAAUAAUUUGUUUUAUAUUAUUGCAAAAUAAUUGUAACCGAAAAAUCUUAUUUGUUCGGCAACCACCGCCCUAGGAAUACCUGGUGGAAUUAUUAAUACAUUCCGUAUAUAUUUUUAUUAUUAAUGUGCGUCGGGUGUAAUUCCAUGUUAUUUUUCCUGCACGCGGAAAACAAUUUAUUUGCCGCCAUUUCCUUCCUUUUGGACCUUCUUCAGGAACGUUUAUGGGGUUUUAUAAAGCCCAUUUUAAAUGCCGUUACAAACGAAACGUUGAAAAAAACGACCGACCGUUUAAUAAGACGACUAAUCCGCAAAUCCGACUCGUUUGCUAUUAUCGGAAAAACCCUGUUAAAAAUUAAAUCGGUUUUUAUUAUUUUCGUUAAAGUCCUCAAUUAAACAGGCUUUCCGUUAUAUUUAGCAGCCUUUUCCUUAACCGCGCUGACCGGGUUUUUGGGAUUGGGUACGCUUUGCCUUUUUGCUCCAAUUGCAUAAAAUGCCCAAAAAUUCAAAUUUUCGAGGGACGACAAUGUGUAAAUAUUUUGUUUUUCGGCAUUUAAAUUUCAAAUUAACUAAUAUUUUUACAGUAAAGGUUUGGCGCCCAAAUCCAUAAAGGACGGAUAACUUUAUAUAAAAUCCCUGCAAAAACUCGAACGGACGUUAAUUUUAUAGAAAUUGUUUAUCUGUUUCGUGGUUGUUUUUGUUUGGUAUUUUUUAGGUGCAAAAAAAGCGGAUAUCGCGAUAUUCGCCAGGUUAACAUAUUAAAUUAGUUUUGCUAAUAAUAAUUUUUAGAAAAUAAACCAGAUUUACCAAAAAUCCGCUCGCAUUAUAUAAAAGAUGUUAAUUUAGGGCGGUGUUUUUAUAUAUUUUGUUUUUAUAUGCGCGAAUUUUGCGACUCGCAGGCGUUUGCGGGAACCAAAUAUAAAAACUCAAUAGGCCAGUAAGUUAUUAUAUAUUGGGAGCGUUUUAGGCCAGUACCAGCCGUUAAUGGGCGAAAUAAAAUUUCAACAAUUAAUAUAUAUAUAUAUAAUAUCGUAUAUUUAUCGGAAUUGCCAAAUAUUGGUAAUAUUAAUCCGUUUUAUACGCAAUUGUUAAAUUUUUUAACCAGGGCUAAUAACGAAAUCUAAACUUAUUCUAACUUCUCCAUUGUUAAAUAUAUAAAAUAUCCACCUAUUAUACCUUUACAUCUCCAUUUUUGCACGCCUUUAUCCACAAACCCUGUUUGCACCGUUAUUGGAGGUAAAGAUUAAAAACGGAAGAUAUUAGCGCUUUCCAAAAAACUAUAGGUUAAAAAUAAAAUUAUAAAAGGAAAACCACCAUCUUUUCCAAAUAUAUGCAAUUCGAUUGUUUGUAGGGGUCCCAAUAAAUAUUUUAACCCUAUAUUACAUUUUCCCUAACCGUUUUAUAAAUUUAUUUGGGUUAACGUAAGUAUAUAUCGCUAAAAAACCAAUUUUAGAAAACACCGUCCCUUUCCAUUCUGCAUUUUAUCGCCGAAAAUAUAUAUUACCGUACAAUAUAACGUAUAUCUAUCGACCUGCCGCCUUUAUAAGAGUUUUUUCGUUAUUUAAUUUAAUUAUUUUGAGGCAGCCUUUGUCCUAAAACGACCGAAUCGCAUACUUUUUGGUUGUAAUUCUUCCUUUCCCUUUAACGGUAUAUUUUAGCUAUUAUAUAUAUUUACCAAUAUAUAUAUUGGAUAGAUUUUCGUCCGUUUAUCUACUUUUUUCACCUCCAGGCAACGUUUCCAUCCGGGAAACCAAAACUAACCAACAAUACCCUUUAUAAAUGGAAUAUAAUUGCGGUUAUAGGAGGAUUAUUAUUGCGGAAUAAUAUAACCGGUAUAAAAACAAAUUUCAGUCGCACAUUCGAUAUUAGCCAGAAAUAUUAUAUUACACCAGGAACGAUCAAAUUUAUUAUAAAUUGCCUAAUUAACGCCUGUUUGCUUUAAUAAACCUUUGUAUUUUGCAACAAUUACUAAUAUAUGCGAACUAUUUGAACUAAUUUUAAUUUUAUAGCCUAUUAUUAUAAAUAAUAAAACCCAAAGUCUGUUCCAUGGAUAUUUUCGCACGAGUAACAAAUAAAAAAAUAAAACUUACCUCUCCUUUUUAACAAAGGUAUAAUAAUAUAAUAUAAUAAAAAUAAGGAAAUUUUAAUUAAUUAUAUAAUAUUAUGGGAUAUUUGUACCAAUAAGCGCCACAUCCCACCCUGGGUGAACAAAGUAAUUAAAAUAAUUUUUGCAUUUGUAUAUCCUACGUUUGUGUUUAGUAUUUUGAAAUACCGUUUUGCCCUGCUAUAUACCGGGGUGGUCAGCUUCGAAUAUUGUAUAUUAUAA